UUUCUUUCAGAGCCUUCCACCCCGGGAGAGGCUCGGGAUCGUGGGAAAGGAAUCGCCUCGAGUUAGCUAGCGAGGAAUUCGACGAUAGGUGGUCUACCUCUCUUCUGAGUUUUGUUUGGAGAGGUUGAGAGACUUGUACCAUUUUUGUAGAGACCACCCCCUAUAUGUAGCUUGAGACUUAUGAUGUAUUAUUUUACGUUUUGCCUUGGUGGUUUAGUUUUCCUUGUUUCUACCUGUUGUUAGAACCUAGCUGUAUACUUGCUCUGAUAUCUUUAGAUACACUCUAUUUGUUGUUCAUUUAUUUGCUAUUGUUGUAGACGCCUUAUAUGUGUAGGCAUAUGGCGGGUCUGGACACGCACCGGGCGGGCCUAGGCCGGGUCCCGGGGCGUGACAGACCGGUUCCCGAACGUGGUCCCAGCAAGAGAUGCCAAAAAAUUGGCUAAGUCCUGAAGAAUGAGCUCUCGGGGACCGGUCUCCCAGGUGAGGACCGGUCUCCCGAGGACCGGUCUCCCGGGGAGAGACCGGUUCCCGAACGCGUGUGCCCGAGGGAAGCUCUCGGGGACCGGUCCCAGGUCGGGGAGACCGGUCCCUCCGCGCGAAAACUGCCCAGUGAGGGCUGUGCACAGGGGUGAAAGUUGAGGGGCUUUUAUGCAAAAUGGCCUUUAUUUGUGUGGGCUGAGCCCUCUCUCUCCCUCACACUCUCUCAUUUC
rnacentral:lncRNA from 1 species